rnacentral:rRNA from 1 species
GACGAACGCUGGCGGCGUGCCUAAUACAUGCAAGUAGAACGCACAGUUUAUACCGUAGCUUGCUACACCAUAAACUGUGAGUUGCGAACGGGUGAGUAACGCGUAGGUAACCUGCCUGGUAGCGGGGGAUAACUAUUGGAAACGAUAGCUAAUACCGCAUAAUAUUAAUUAUUGCAUGAUAAUUGAUUGAAAGAUGCAAUUGCAUCACUACCAGAUGGACCUGCGUUGUAUUAGCUAGUAGGUGAGGUAACGGCUCACCUAGGCGACGAUACAUAGCCGACCGGAGAGGGUGAUCGGCCACACUGGGACUGAGACACGGCCCAGAAGCCUACGGGAGGCAGCAGUAGGGAAUCUUCGGCAAUGGACGAAAGUCUGACCGAGCAACGCCGCGGGAGUGAAGAAGGUUGUCGGAUCGUAAAGCUCUGUUGUAAGAGAAGAACGGGUGUGAGAGUGGAAAGUUCACACUGUGACGGUAACUUACCAGAAAGGGACGGCUAACUACGUG